GAAUGCUGACAUAAGUAACGAUAAAGCGGGUGAAAAGCCCGCUCGCCGGAAGACCAAGGGUUCCUGUCCAACGUUAAUCGGGGCAGGGUGAGUCGACCCCUAAGGCGAGGCCGAAAGGCGUAGUCGAUGGGAAACGGGUUAAUAUUCCCGUACUUGGUGUUACUGCGAAGGGGGGACGGAGAAGGCUAUGUUGGCCGGGCGACGGUUGUCCCGGUUUAAGCGUGUAGGUGUGUGUUCCAGGUAAAUCCGGUUCACUUUAACACUGAGGCGUGACGACGAGGCACUACGG
rnacentral:rRNA from 2 species